UGGGGAAUCUUGCACAAUGGGGGAAACCCUGAUGCAGCGACGCCGCGUGAGCGAUGAAGCCCUUCGGGGUGUAAAGCUCUUUCGACCGGAACGAUAAUGACGGUACCGGGAGAAGAAGCUGCGGCUAACUACGUGCCAGCAGCCGCGGUAAUACGUAGGCAGCGAGCGUUGUUCGGAGUUACUGGGCGUAAAGCGUGCGUAGGCGGUUUUGUAAGUUUGGUGUGAAAUCUCCCGGCUCAACUGGGAGGGUGCGCCGAAAACUGCAAGGCUGGAGUGUGGGAGAGGUAGGCGGAAUUCCUGGUGUAGCGGUGAAAUGCGUAGAUAUCAGGAGGAACACCUGUGGUGUAGACGGCUUACUGGACCAUGACUGACGCUGAGGCACGAAAGCGUGGGGAGCAAACAGG
rnacentral:rRNA from 1 species